rnacentral:lncRNA from 1 species
GACGGAGAAUCGGGCGGUUUUGGAACGAUGAAGAAGAGAGAGAAGCAGGUGUGAGAGAAACGGAAACCCUAGGGUUUUUGGUGGAGAUGGAGAGUGUAGGUGAUGGAGAGAGGAUCGUCAUGGUGUGUGGUAGUGGUGGUUGUGGACGGUGGAGCAUUGGCGGAGAGGGACGCACGUGACUUGUGUCGAAAAUGAUGUUGAACAGAAUUUU